GAUGAACGCUGGCGGCGUGCCUAACACAUGCAAGUCGAGCGAUUUACUUCGGUAAAGAGCGGCGGACGGGUGAGUAACGCGUGGGUAACCUGCCCUGUACACACGGAUAACAUACCGAAAGGUAUGCUAAUACGGGAUAAUAUGUUUUGAUCGCAUGAUCGAAAUAUCAAAGCUCCGGCGGUACAGGAUGGACCCGCGUCUGAUUAGCUAGUUGGUAAGGUAACGGCUUACCAAGGCGACGAUCAGUAGCCGACCUGAGAGGGUGAUCGGCCACAUUGGAACUGAGACACGGUCCAAACUCCUACGGGAGGCAGCAGUGGGGAAUAUUGCACAAUGGGCGAAAGCCUGAUGCAGCAACGCCGCGUGAGCGAUGAAGGCCUUCGGGUCGUAAAGCUCUGUCCUCAAGGAAGAUAAUGACGGUACUUGAGGAGGAAGCCCCGGCUAACUACGUGCCAGCCGCCGCCGUAA
rnacentral:rRNA from 1 species